UGGGGAAUUUUGGACAAUGGGCGAAAGCCUGAUCCAGCAAUGCCGCGUGUGUGAAGAAGGCCUUCGGGUUGUAAAGCACUUUUGUCCGGAAAGAAAUCCUUGGCUCUAAUACAGUCGGGGGAUGACGGUACGUGAAGAAUAAGCACCGGCUAACUACGUGCCAGCAGCCGCGGUAAUACGUAGGGUGCAAGCGUUAAUCGGAAUUACUGGGCGUAAAGCGUGCGCAGGCGGUUUGCUAAGACCGAUGUGAAAUCCCCGGGCUCAACCUGGGAACUGCAUUGGUGACUGGCAGGCUAGAGUAUGGCAGAGGGGGGUUAGAAUUCCACGUGCAUGACAGUGAAAUGCGUAGAGAUGUGGAGGAAUACCGAUGGCGAAGGCAGCCCCCUGGGCCAAUACUGACGCUCAUGCACGAAAGCGUGGGGAGCAAACAGGAUUAGAUACCCUGGUAGUCCACGCCCUAAACGAUGUCAACUAGUUGUUGGGGAUUCAUUUCCUUAGUAACGUAGCUAACGCGUGAAGUUGACCGCCUGGGGAGUACGGUCGCAAGAUUAAAACUUCAAAU
rnacentral:rRNA from 1 species